rnacentral:SRP_RNA from 14 species
CGCCGUUGCCACCUUGCCCGCCUCCCGGCAACGACCGCAGAACCAGUGGCCUUCGGGGACGGCGGUCAGGGGCGGCCGCACGCAGAAGAGGUGGUAUUCGGCCU